AGGACAAACGCUGGCGGCGUACCUAAGACAUGCAAGUCGAACGGGACUUUCCGCCUUUGGUGGGAAGUCGAGUGGCGGACGGGUGAGUAACGCGUGGGAACCUGUCGCGCGGUGGGGGAUACCGCCGGGAAACCGGCGCUAAUACCGCAUAGGUUCAUCGGAAGGUGAACAAAGCAGCAAUGCGCCGUGUGAGGGGCCCGCGUCCGAUUAGCUCGUUGGUGGGGUAACGGCCUACCAAGGCGACGAUCGGUAGCUGGUCUGAGAGGAUGGUCAGCCACACUGGGACUGAGACACGGCCCAGACUCCUACGGGAGGCAGCAGUUAGGAAAUUUUUCCAAUGGGGGAAACCCUGAGAGAGUAACGCCGCGUGGGGAUGACGGCCUUCGGUUGUAACCCUUUCCGUGGAGAGUAGAGACGGUACCACGGAGAAGCCUCGGCUAACUACGUGCCAGCAGCCGC
rnacentral:rRNA from 1 species